ensembl:lncRNA
GAUAAAGCUUUGUAGUUUAAAAGGAUACAUUGUUGGGGAGGACAAAGAUUCUCCUUGAGAGCCUCUAAACAGGUAAAGUAAAUGUACAAUACUCAUACGUAUUAGUUAAUCAUGUACACUUUCUGUGCACAAUGAGAAGACAAGUUGAAAUUCUCCUUUCUCAUAUAUAGAUAUGUCUUUUGUAUUAAAUUAAAUUAAAUCUGAAUUAAUUAAAUCUGAUGCCUCCUUCUGCAGUGUGCACAGAUUGUUAAAACCUGAAUUGUAGUAAAACUUUGAAUAAAAUGUGUGCAAAAAUCUACUUUCAAAAUUGUUGCUGUCAUAUGAAACCAUAAGCAGCUAUUCAUAAAGACCUUCCCAUAAGAGUUCCAAACACAUUUAUAUCACUAUGGAGUGGACUGCGUGCACAACAGAAAAAACACAGGUGGACUUACAGUGCUUAACGUCUCAGUUCCAUUGAGGGAUCCGGUAACAAUGAACCAGUAUGCACAAUAGCAUGACCUCUCCUAAGUGGAAUGAAGCAAUCAAUGAUUCACCUUGCUACUGUGGAGCCACGUGUCAGAGGGAUGACAGAGACCUUCUGGAGCUACAAGAGGAGCAAACGAACCCUGGAACAAUUAAUGUUGCUGGCGUGUUUGAGUGUGCAGUAAUCCUCAAGGGCCUGGGUGACUUUGCAACAGCUCUUUGGUGAUAUUUUUGAUCUGCUCUACACACUCAACAGGCAAUCCAGAAAAUGCCGCUUGGUCUUGGAGAAUCAUACUCGGUGUGGUUUAAAUGCUGAGAACUUAACUCUUGCAGUCAUUGACUUUUAAUUUUGAACUGAAACUACUCCAGACUUGUAGUACAGAAGUAGAAGCUCAAUAAAAAACAGAACUGUCUCAUUAUGUUGUUUCUUCAGACAUGAAAAACUUUUCAUAAACGUUUCCCUUUUAAAAUGGUUGACCCUGAGAUAGAUUGUUUUUGUGUACAGCUGCUUACUUAAAUUUAAAUUUCCUCCUUUUGUUCCAAAUAAUCUGUGACCCUGUUUGCAUUCUGGAUUUUGGUAGUUCAGAACUUGUCCCUUAUUACAUAUAAUAUAAUAUAUCUGUCUAUCUAGAUAGGAACUCUAUCUAUAUAGAGAAAGUUAUAUAGAUGGAUCCCUUUUAACCUGUAAGCAGUAGGGUCAAUAGCAAUUGUAGAUGUCAACAAUUGCUGAUUAACUUGUUAGACUUACAAGCCAAAUUCGUACUAGUGUAAAUGCUACUUGUCAGUUUUUAUUAUUGACUUUAUUUCAAACUUAAUGACAGAUUCCAAUGCUAUUUUAUACUAUUUUAAUUAUUUCACUCAUUUACAUCAAAAGUAAACUAAAAACCUUUGUUUCACCUUUUUAAUGGUGAUAUUUUAUACAAUCUUUAAUGCUGCUACUCAAUGCCAUUUUAAACACAUUUAAAUGCUUUCAUUCUGUGAUGUUCAUUGUUGCUCUUUCCAAUGAUUAUUGUUCACCCGUUUCCAGUCUUCAUACUAAUCAGAGCUAACAGGGUAAACUUACUGUCUCCCAAAAUAUUGAUAUAUUGCUAUUGAAAUGAACACAAAUGCAUUUGUUUUAUGCACUUUUCUCAUAAAAUAUUGCUUUUAUUAGUUUGAUGAUUUCUUUAUAUUUGCUGUAUAUUUUGACAUUUAUAUUAAUGUAUUGUAUAGCAGUUGUAUUCUUUCUUUCCAAUGCUGGUGCAUCAUUGUAUUUUGGGUGUAUUGCAGCCAUCAACAUAUCAAUCUGUGAAAGAGCAUGACAAUUUUUAUAUAUUGUGCAAUUUGAACCUACCUCAUCACAUAUUUGCAUGCUGAGAGCCAAAGUCAAAAAGCCAGUAGAUGGAUAUUUGCCCUUUUUUUCCAGCCAAAUGUCAUGAACAUAUUUCAUGAGAGCUGGAUUGAGGAUCAUCACCUGUUCAGGAUUAAAGUUAAACUUUAAACUGACAUAAAUAUAAAUAUUUCCUUUUAGCAGUCAAUAUAAUUUAUUACUGAGUGACUUAUCAGAUGUUUUGGUUUCAUGCAAAAUCAUUUAGAAAACUCACCAAAUCCUUGUUUGCUCUCCUCUUUGAGUUCACGGCACUGUUUUCCCUGGUAACAUGGUACAUUCAGUAGAACGUGUAUAAAAGUACAAUUUAGUUAUAGUUAUUUAACAUUAUUUG